AUGUCAAUUAAGUCUACCUUUUCCAUUGUUUAAGAUCUCUGUUGUCUUACUGGAUUUCUGUCUAGAGGAUCUGUCCAUUGAUGUGAGUGGGGUGUUAAAGUCUCCCACUAUGAUUAUAUUCCCAUCAGUUUCUCCUUUUAUAUCUGUUAGUGUUUGUCAUAGAUAUCUGGCUACUUCUGUAUUAGGGGGAUAUAUAUUGAUGAUUGUACAUCCCUGACACCAUGGGUACUGGGGUGCUUGGUGACAGAUACCAGCAUCAUCUUUGCCUCUUUGAUAAUGCUCUCUUGGGGGCAUUACCAUGUGAUUUAAAGUUAAUGAUUUAUGCUUACUCCUAUAUGUCUGUCUUCAUACAUCUUCUCCAUUCCCUUUGUCCUCACUCUCCAAGUCUUUCUCCUUCAAGGCUCCUGACCAACCAAGAUAUUUGCCACUGUCACAGUCUUUGUGUAAUCUUACCUUGGGUUAUGGUUUUUUCUACAUAAAGUGGAUAGUUGGGUACACUACCUGAAUCUCUGCUUAUUGGAGGGAUUUCGCCUCACUACUGACUUCAAGACCACUGCUGUGUGUGGCUGAAUCAUCAGUCCAUUUUUAGUGUGCACCCACACACCAAUUUGACUGAUUAAUAAAUCAAGCUUGUUCUUUUGCUUUUUAAGUCACUUACUCAUAAGAGACUCCCAUGUGACCACAGGUGUGAGCUGAAGGAGUGUGCUGGCACAAUAGUAGAUAAUAACAUGGUAGUCUUGGCCACUCAUGCAACUUAUUCAUGUUGACUUAAUCCCUUCUCAUCCCACUAGUGAUUAAUUCCAGAUGUCUCUUCCAUCUUAUUAUAGAUUGUUGCUGGUACCUCCAAAUGUAGAAUAUAGUGCUUAUGAUAGACACUAGUUUGUGACAGGGAGUUUGGGCCACAUGAUUAUUUGAUCCUCCCUAGACUGUGGCCUGUUUCAGAGUCAUAAGCAUGUUAGCAGUUAUUUUUUGAGUUGUACAUAGUUCUUUGAGGUAGAUGGCCUCAUGUAGCUCUAGAAACUGAGCUUAUUAUGCACAGAUUCUCUUAUGCAGGCUUGCCUUAAGUCCCCAAAGAUCUUUUUUUCCAACCACAGAUAUGUACCUAUUAUUAUAUGCAGUUAUACCUGCUACAGAGCUCUUUACUACUCUAGAACCCACACACAUGAGCUGUCAUACUUUCAAGCCACUUAUUAAAUGGGCUGAAAUAGUAUUUAUAAGCAUAGAAUAUGCUGCCUCUAGAGCCCAAUGAAGCUUACCAGGGAUGAUGUCUCCUUCUUUGUGAUAGAAAUUAUGUGAUGCAACAAUUUGCCCUUUAUUUUAGGACAAGAUACAGACUCCUUCAGACUAUAUAAUAGAGGGCAGACAAGGUAAUAUAGCCUUGAGACAAGACCAGAAUUUUAUACCAUUGUCUGUGAAUUCAAACUGCUUCUGAUCCCCCUUCCUGAUUAAGAUGGAAGAAAACACAGUGGUAAUAUACAAGGUACAUGAAGCUGUGUCCAUUUGCCCUAUCAGAGAUACUACAUCUGAUGCCCCAGAUGGGUUAACACAAAUACCUGUUUGAUUUUGCAGCAGUCCACUGUAAUUCAUUAAGACCUGUCUGGAUUUCAUAGGGGUUUUAUUUUAUUGGUUGAUUAAAUGGGGAUAUUAUGAGGACUACCGUAUUUCAUCCUUUUACAUCUUUGAGUAGUACAAAUCUCUACAAAUACUUCCCAUUUGACUUUCCUCAUUAUGCUGUCACUCCAGAAGCCAAGGAACCAAUGUGGGGUCUGUCAACCACCGCGUAAGUCCUUUCUAAUUAUUCUUUUGGUGACCAGGGAAAUGAACCCCAGAUGGAGUUAUGUACCAGUUGUGACCUAGAACUGGGAUAGGAUAUUCUUAAUUUCCUUGCCUCUAUCUGCUCAUGUUAUUCCAACAACUCUAACAUGAGGGUCAUGAUGUGAUGCUUAAGUCUCCACAUAUUAAUGCCAAAAGUCCUCAAAUUAUCUAGGUAUUUCCCUUAAUAUUAUCUGAGGAAAUAGUCAUAGCUAGCUUUUUGGAGAACCAAGUGAAUGAUUACCAUAUACCCUUUCCAUGAUGUUGAAACCCCUUUCUUCAAGGGGAUCACACCCUUGCUUCAGUCAGUAGGUCCUCAAUCUAAGGAUUGACUCAGGUGUGGUAACCCCAAUCAAGGGAUUUUUAUCUUUUUAUUGGUAUAGCUUAGUUCAGUCUCCUGAUCAUGCAUACAUGAUUCCUUUAGGUUAUAUAGAUUGAUAAAUUAUUUUGUUGGCUGCCUGUCUAUCUAUACAGUACCUAUGAUCUCUGUUUAGUAAGUAUCUCCAUAGAAGUGUUCUACAUGUUGAAUCACUCUGGCUACCAUUCUGAUCUUCUCACUUUUUAGCCUUUACUAUAAUCUUUUACCAAAAUAAUUGUACUGCAAUCAUCUCCAGUAAGAUUAAAGCUAAGAGGAAAAGUUUAUGAAUAAUAUAAGUGAUUAAUAUUAAAAAAUUUGCUAACCAUAAAAAGAUGUAGGAAUUCUCCUCUACUGCUGAAUAAAUCUCCUAUUCUGCCUCAUUUCUUUCAAUAGAGGCAGAACACAGAUAAGUCUAAAGAGAUAGAAAUUGGAGCAAUUCAGAACAUGCCCACAAGUUAAUGGCCCUAGCUCCCUCUUCCUGAAAGACCAACCUCACAGUAUUGGGGCCUCACUGGAAUUUCUAAGUAAUCAUGGUGUUGAUCCCAUCUAUUCAGACCCUUAGGGUUUGUUAAGGUUAUUCUUCUAUCUAAACCAGUGUUUUCUCUUUUACAGGGACGUUUUCUCUGUUCAAAUGGGUAAAAUACCAUGGGCAAAAAGAAUGCUUAACUUGUAAAAAAGAAAAAAAUGCUGAACUCAUAAACUUACUUAGAAAUUCAUUCCUAAAAUAUUAACUGUGAGUAAGUCAUUUGACCACUCUUGGACAUAGUUUUCUUAUCUAUCAUGAGUCAAGUCACGUGACUUUGAAGAUUUCCACAUGUGAGUUCUAUUAUUUUUGACAAACAUAACAGGCACAUGGAUUGCCAUCUCUGAUUCAAAUUUUCAGAAAAGCUGUACCAGAGUGGUAGUCAUGUCCUAUUACAUUUUGAAUGAAUUAAUAGGAGUACUUUUAGAGAAUAUUAAAUAUUAUCUGGCUCUUCUAAAACUAGCUCUAUCAUUCUGAUAUUCUUGGGAAAACAAAGAAAACCACAGUGAAUUGCCUAUGGAUACUUUUAUUAAGGAAAUUAACUAUGGAGAAUGAGCAGAUUGUCUCAAGAGAGUCAACUAUGUGCAUGUCUCAUAUAAAUUUUGUCUUCAGUGAAGCUAUGUUGGUAGCUUGAUUUGGGCCUUUGUGGGAGGAUUCCUACUUAGAAAUCAACAAACAUUAUAAUUCAGAUCUUUUUCUUUUUCUUUUAAUUGGAUGCUAAUUAUUUCUACCUGAAAACAAGAAGAUGAAACUAAGUGACCAAAGAAUUACUUAAGAACCUUAAAAUAAAUCUUUCAAGCCAAAAACUUGGGUUCAUUCUGGAAAUUAAAAGUCUGUUUCUUCCGUAGGAACAUGACUAGUGCAAGGAUAGUAAGAUUUCUUUUUAAUCUAAACUGGUGAAAAUAGGAUACUUUCAUAUUCUUAAUAGUUUAAAUAUACCAUCCACGUAAAAAAGCAUACAUAUGUGGAAUCUAAAAAGUACAACAAACUAGUGAAUACGUAAAAAGAAGCAGACUCACAGAUACAGAGAAUGAACUAGUGGUUACCAGUGAGGAGAGGGAAUGGGGAAGGACAAUAAAGAGGUAGAGUGAAAAAAGUUACUAUUUGAUUAUAUGAAAUCAUCUUUAUUAAAACCCUGAUAAUUGUAAACACUAUAGAACUUAAACCUUUCAUUUAGUUAAAAAAGGCAUAUAUGAGUGAAACUCAAAGGCCUUAUUCUAUUUGUAAGCAGUAAAUUUUAGCUUAUAUUCUCUAAAUUGGAGGCAACAGAAUUGAGUAUUAUCAUUAAAUUACUAGAAUACAUUUUGACUGGAAAUCUGUUCUGAGUGAUAUGUCCUGUAACCUUCAAGAAAAGAAAUUAUCCACUGGGAUUCCUAUAGUUAAGAGAUUAGAUUAUAUUGGUCUUCCAAUCUUUUGCUUCUUUCUCUUAUUGUUCUGUUGCCUCUGUCUUUAUCAUCAGCUUCUAAUUGAGGAUGGACAGGGUGGAAUGAAAAGGCAAAUCUCUAUUCUGUCAGUUUUUUCUGUCUGUAAUGGGUUUCUAAAACGGUUUGGUAGAAAUAACAUAAAAAUCUUUGAAGUAUAUUAGUAAUUAUUAAAAAUACCAAUUAUUUAUAAUUCCUCUGCCCCCAGUUCCAGUAUAUGUCAUUGACACUGAAGAGUAAUAUUUGUUGCUGUUGUUUUAAUGACUUGCUUGGACAACUAUUAAUUGUAAUAAUUGCCUGAACCAUGCAUUUUGACACUUGAUAAUAUCUAAAUCAAGUUUGUUAACACUGCUUAGUAUUGUCUUCAUCGUUGAUAUGCAAAAAUGAUGUUUCUGCCAAAAGAAUACUUGUGAUACUUCAUGGGUAUCCAACCAGAGCAAUCAGAGUUAUAAGUAAAUACUAUGAAAUCAAUAAUAAAUACCCAAUCAGAUGAAGCUAUGAUGAUUGCUUCUGAUCCAAAAGGAUUGGAUUUAGUAAGGUACUAUUUAGAGGUUGAUUACAUUCUUUAUUAAGAAAUUGCCUGAAAUUUGGGUGAGCUAAGAGGUGACUGAAUUGCCUUUUUAGGUAAGAUAAUGAAGGAGGGCUGCUGCUCCUCCCUUACAGAAAAUUUAAGAAGCUGCUUAAAACAGUUUUUUGUGCUAUCAAAAUACAUAUUCAUUAUUCAUGCUUAAAUGUCUAUUGUUGGUCUAUAAUAAAAUAGACACUAGAUAAAAAAUAUGAGAGUAAAGCAAAAAUUACUGAAAUAACUAAUUUCAAUGUGUUAUAAAAUAGGAGUUCC
rnacentral:lncRNA from 1 species